rnacentral:misc_RNA from 1 species
UUUCCGUAGGUGAACCUGCGGAAGGAUCAUUAACGAGUUAGGGUCUUCUAGGCCCGACCUCCCAACCCUUUGUUUACUGAACCAUUGUUGCCUCGGUGGGUCCGUCUUACGACCGCCGGGGGAUCGCCGCGAGGCGCCCCCUGGCCAGCGCCCACCGAUAGCCCAACCUUUAAAACCCUUUGUGAAUCGUGUCUUAUGUCUAAAUUUAAGAUUAAACAAUCAAAACAAAACUUUCAACAACGGAUCUCUUGGUUCUG